UACGUAGGGACCAAGCGUUGUUCGGAUUUACUGGGCGUAAAGGGCGCGUAGGCGGCUUAACAAGUCACUUGUGAAAUCCCCGGGCUUAACCUGGGAAUUGCGUUGGAGACUGCAAGGCUGGAAUCUGGCAGAGGGGGGUAGAAUUCCACGUGUAGCAGUGAAAUGCGUAGAGAUGAUGGAGGAACACCGAUGGCGAAGGCAGCCCCCUGGGUCAAGCAUUGACGCUCAUGCACGAAAGCGUGGGGAGCAAACAG
rnacentral:rRNA from 1 species